UGGCGAAGAUAGUAACUCUGAACCUAACGAAGAAAGCGAACCAAGCCAAAUCACUACCCUGGAUUCUUUUCUCGACCUUUUAAGAAAUUUGAUUCCACCAAAUUUGGUAGAAGCAGCAUUGAAAUCUACGCAGACAGAUUACGCUAGUAAAUCUAUCAACUUUCUUCGAAAAAACACAAGCAGCCCUUCUUCGGCAAAAGAUGUGGCCAAUCUCCUUAAUGACAACACGGUUGUUCCAUGGGGUUCCAACAAUGGCAAGAAUGUGACGAUCAUCACCAAUGACAAAGAAUACACAUUCUCUGGCACUGUCGAGAAGGAUGGUACAAAUUUUCUAGGCCUGAUAGUUUUCUCCAUUCUGCUUGGUAUAAUUCUAAG